rnacentral:rRNA from 1 species
GACGAACGCUGGCGGCGCGCUUAACACAUGCAAGUCGAACGGAAAGGCCUUCUUUCCCUUUUGGAUUGCAGGUACUCGAAUUUCGAACGGGUGAGUAACACGGUAGGGAUCUUCCCCCAACUUGGGGAUAAACCUGGGAAACUGGUUCUAAUUCCCGCUAAGACUUCAUGGUUGUGCCUGUGUUGGAAAACAGUUUUCUAGUGGCUGGGGAUGAGCGCGCGUCCUAUCAGCUGGUUGGUGGGGUAAUUGCCGACCAAGGCGGCGACGGGUAGCCGGCCGGGGAGGGUCGCCGGCCACAUGGGGACUGAGACACGCCCCAGAGUGAGACGGGAGGCAGCAGUGGGGAAUAAUGGACAAUGGGCGGACGGCGGAAGCAGGGACGCGGCGUGGGGGAUGACGGAUUGCGGGUUGUAAACUCCUUACGAGAGCGAGUAAGCGACCUGGUUGGAAGGGUGGUGACGGUAGUGGUAGAAGAAGCACCGGCUAACUACGUG